UGAACCUGAUCAUGUAUGGCUGAGAUGAGGAAUCUGGGGAAGCCCUCUGGACCAGACAGACCCUCCAUUAGGAGCGUUCCACACCCAUGCCAGCUGCUCCAGAGAGCAGUAAUUAAGUCCAUGAUGCCUGCUUUCAGCUCUUUUCAUACCUGCCUGCCAAGAGCAGAAUUGCUGUAGAAAGAGGAGCUCUUGUUUAUGCCAGGACUGGGAAGCGCCUCCUGGGGAUCAUGCAAAGACUUCAUUGAACCGAACUAUGGCGGCCACUUGGAUAUGUUUGAGCUCUUGUGCCACGGAGCCAGAAAGGAAGAAGCGGCAUAGAAGACGGACCACUAGAGAUGCGACGGUGAGCUGCCCAGAUCUGCCCCAACCCCUAGGA